rnacentral:rRNA from 1 species
AUACGUAGGGGGCGAGCGUUGUCCGGAAUGAUUGGGCGUAAAGGGCGCGUAGGCGGCGCGGUAAGUCUGGAGUGAAAGUCCUGCUUUCAAGGUGGGAAUUGCUUUGGAUACUGCCGCGCUUGAGUGCAGGAGAGGUUAUCGGAAUUCCCGGUGUAGCGGUGAAAUGUGUAGAGAUCGGGAGGAACACCAGUGGCGAAGGCGGGUAACUGGACUGCAACUGACGCUGAGGCGCGAAAGUGUGGGGAGCAAACAGGAUUAGAUACCCUGGUAGUCCACACUGUAAACGAUGAAUGCUAGGUGUAAGAGGUAUCGACCCCUUUUGUGCCGGAGUCAACACAAUAAGCAUUCCGCCUGGGGAGUACGGCCGCAAGGUUGAAACUCAAAGGAAUUGGCGGGG